GCUUGCUUUCUUGAGAGUGGCGCACGGGUGCGUAACGCGUAUGCAACCUGCCUGUAACUAUCGGAUAGCCCUGCGAAAGUGGGAUUAAUACGAUAUGUGACGGAGAUAUGGCAUCAUAUUUUCGUUAAAGAUUUAUCGGUUACAGAUGGGCAUGCGUGUCAUUAGCUAGUUGGUGAGGUAACGGCUCACCAAGGCUACGAUGACUAGGGGGUCUGAGAGGAUGAUCCCCCACACUGGUACUGAGACACGGACCAGACUCCUACGGGAGGCAGCAGUGGGGAAUAUUGGUCAAUGGGCGAAAGCCUGAACCAGCCAUGCCGCGUGCAGGAUGACGGCCCUAUGGGUUGUAAACUGCUUUUAUAUGGGGAGAAAAAAGUCUAUUUAUAGAUUCUUGACGGUACCAUAAGAAUAAGGAUCGGCUAACUACGUGCCAGCAGCCGCGGUAAUACGUAGGAUCCGAGCGUUGUCCGGAUUUAUUGGGUUUAAAGGGUGCGUAGGCGGAAAG
rnacentral:rRNA from 1 species